CAACUAGGAUAAUGUAGCUACUCACAGAAUUCACCUCAAUAACACCACGUAGCCUACACAGCAAGCAGUUCAAGCCCACAGAGAUAACAGAGGAGGUUAACCAGCAUUGAGACAGACAGGUAAACAGGACUCAGUCAUUCUCCUUCACCGGGACUUUAUAAACGCUGAGACUUCAGGAUGGACACAACAUUGACCUUCAUCGUCCUCCUGCGAUGUUGGGUUGUUUGCUCUCGACCCAGCCGACAGUCGCUCUCGUUCUCGAUGGUUUUCAGUGAUGGGACUCUUCUGCUAGUGGACGCUGAUGAAGACGAGCUUCAUCUUCACCAUCAGAACAAGACAGCAGGUUCUGCUCCAUCAGUUCAGAUGUUAUCGUCCAUCCCUUUCUCUCUGGACCCCGGAUCUCCUCACCUUCUGGUCUGCGUCCUCACCGGGUUAAACUCACCUCCACAGGACGUCCUGUGGUGGGUCGACGACGCAGAAGUGACAUCAUCAGGCGCCAUUGUGUCACAGAUGAUGUCACAGGAGGGCGGGGCUUACAGUGUCACCGCAGUGUGGGAGGUACCGGCAGCAGAGUGGAGGUCCGGGUCCACGUACUGUUGUGGGAUGGUACAAGAGGGGCCGGUCUACACAGAGAAAUGCUGCUCACAGGACUGAUGGAGACUCAGAGGUCACAGGUUCGAGUCCCAGACCAGACACACACACAAAGCUGUAAACCAGGGGUGUCCAAACUCGGUCCCCGAUAAUGGAAUAUGGCCCACAAAUGAAACUUGUGCUUUUCUCAUAUUGUACUUCUUAAAUAUAAAUGUACAAAUAUAUUACACAGUAUUCAUGUGUUAAUUAAUCCACUUUUUAAAUAAAUUAAAGUUGGAAAACAUGUUCUAACAUAUCUUAGUUGAUAAGAAAAAAGCCCAAUGACUUAUUUACAUAACAACCUUGAAAUAUACCCUUCAUAUUUCCUCUCAUUAUAUCUGAGCCUCCUGUUUUAAGGAAUGAGAUGCCAACACAAUAAAUGCAACCCUACGGAGAGCUGUGUGUUUUUUCAUCAAUAUCAACCAUCAUUUACCAAAAUGUGAUUGAUUCUUCUUACUUAGAACUUAUGAGGCAAUAUACCUAGCGGCCCAGCCCUUCGUAUAUUUUUCUGUAUGUGGCCCUCGGUGAAAAAAGUUUGGACACCCCUGCUGUAAACCGAAGGACCAGCUGAUGACUGGAACGCUUAAAUGACUGCAUGUCGUGAUUUAUGAAUACAACAAGAAAAAUAUUAAUCUUUAAAUAGUUGGUGGGUUCAUCAAAGGACACAGAGAUGACUUCUGCUUUUGCUGUGAGCGUGUAAAUAUAUAUUUACGUGUAUAUUUUUAUUAUACCCCUGUAAAAGUAAAAAAACAUCUCACUCACCUGGGCUCAGCCUCUGCACGUGUUGAAGCUGAAGACUGUCAAAUCUUUUUAUCUUUUUGUUGAGGUCGUUUUGAAUGUUUUUUGGUUGAUUUGCGUUUCAAUGUUGUUGCUGUAAUGCGCUUUUGGGUUUAUUUGAUUAUUAUAUUAUUACAUUGUUUUUGCGAGGGUUUUUUUGUUUCCUGUUGCUGUUGUACUGUGUGUUUCUUAGGUUGAUUUAUAGAGUUAUUUCUUAAUCUAUUUGUGUGCCUUCUUUAGAUAGUGCGGAAGAUACACGGGGAUGGAGAUGUGGUGACAAGUAUUUUGUGUCUUUUUACGUUUUUGCAGCUCUCAGGAAUGCUGUUGUGCAUUUCUUUGUAGUUUUUAAGCAUUAGUUAGAUUUGUAUGUCUCUUCGUGUUGUUUUUUUGGGUCAUUUUGAGUCUGUUAGUUUUCUUAACUUUCUCUUUGAGUCUUCUCAACCCGGGAUGUA